rnacentral:rRNA from 1 species
AUUGAACGCUGGCGGCAUGCCUUACACAUGCAAGUCGAACGGUAACAGGUCUUCGGACGCUGACGAGUGGCGAACGGGUGAGUAAUACAUCGGAACGUGACCAGUCGUGGGGGAUAACUACUCGAAAGAGUAGAUAAUACCGCAUACGAUCUGAGGAUGAAAGCGGGGGAACUUCGGGCCUCGCGCGAUUGGAGCGGUCGAUGGCGGAUUAGGUAGUGGGUGGGAUAAAAGCUUACCAAGCCGACGAUCUGUAGCUGGUCUGAGAGGACGACCAGCCACACUGGGACUGAGACACGGCCCAGACUCCUACGGGAGGCAGCAGUGGGGAAUUUUGGACGAUGGGCGAAAGCCUGAUCCAGCAAUGCCGCGUGCAGGAUGAAGGCCUUCGGGUUGUAAACUGCUUUUGUACGGAACGAAAAAGCUCCUGCUAAUACAGGGGGCCCAUGACGGUACCGUAAGAAUAAGCACCGGCUAACUACGUGCCAGCCGCCGCAGUAA